CACGUAGGGCGCAAGCGUUGUCCGGAAUUACUGGGCGUAAAGGGCGCGUAGGCGGCUUGUACAGUCAGACGUGAAAUUCCUGGGCUCAACCUGGGGGCUGCGUUUGAUACGUAUGGGCUUGAGUUCGGAAGAGGGUCGUGGAAUUCCCAGUGUAGAGGUGAAAUUCGUAGAUAUUGGGAAGAACACCGGUGGCGAAGGCGGCGACCUGGUCCGAUACUGACGCUGAGGCGCGAAAGCGUGGGGAGCAAACAGG
rnacentral:rRNA from 1 species